rnacentral:rRNA from 1 species
UAAUACAGAGGCCUCGAGCGUUAGGCGGAAUCACUGGGCUUAAAGCGUGUGUAGGCGGAGUGCUAAGUACCUUGUGAAAUCCCACAGCUCAACUGUGGAAUUGCUUGGUAUACUGGCAUUCUUGAGCCAUCUAGGGGCGAGCGGAACAAAUGGUGGAGCGGUGAAAUGCGUAGAUAUCAUUUGGAACGCCAACGGUGAAAACAGCUCGCUGGGGAUGUGCUGACGCUGAGACACGAAAGCCAGGGGAGCAAACGGGAUUAGAUACCCCGGUAGUCCUGGCCCUAAACGAUGUCCACUAGAUCGUAGUUGCUCUGACGUAAUUAUGGUCGAAGCAAAAGUGCUAAGUGGACCGCCUGGGAAGUACGGUCGCAAGGCUA